AUUGAACGCUGGCGGCAGGCCUAACACAUGCAAGUCGAGCGGUAGAGAGGAGCUUGCUUCUCUUGAGAGCGGCGGACGGGUGAGUAAUGCCUAGGAAUCUGCCUGGUAGUGGGGGAUAACGUUCGGAAACGGACGCUAAUACCGCAUACGUCCUACGGGAGAAAGUGGGGGAUCUUCGGACCUCACGCUAUCAGAUGAGCCUAGGUCGGAUUAGCUAGUUGGUGAGGUAAAGGCUCACCAAGGCGACGAUCCGUAACUGGUCUGAGAGGAUGAUCAGUCACACUGGAACUGAGACGCGGUCCAGACUCCUACGGGAGGCAGCAGUGGGGAAUAUUGGACAACGGGCGCAAGCCUGAUCCAGCCAUGCCGCGUGUGUGAAGAAGGUCUUCGGAUUGUAAAGCACUUUAAGUUGGGAGGAAGGUCAGUAGCUUAAUACGUUGCUGAUUUGACGUUACCGACAGAAUAAGCACCGGCUAACUCUGUGCCAGCAGCCGCCGUAAUAC
rnacentral:rRNA from 1 species